rnacentral:misc_RNA from 1 species
GGACACGAAAUCCCGAAGUAGUGUCC